CUCCACCGGGUCUUCUAUACGGCCGGCGGUGAAAAUAUUGCUAGGACGACCGCCAUUUGCCCCCGAGACGCGGCCGACCUGUGCCGCCGGCCUUCUAUCCCGACGCGCCGUAGCCCAACCGCGCUGGUGCACUGACGCGCGGCCGCCUCGCGCCGCCGGCUUGCUGCCCUGACGCGCCGCUUGGCCUGCCCCGACGCCGACCCCGACGUGCCUGUGCAGGAGUUCUUCACCAACACGCCCACCAAGUGCUCGACAGAUUGCCUCAACCAGCACUGCAAUGGAGAGGGAGGGCCAAAGCAAGGGAAAUUAAAGGGGAAGGAGAUACUUGUUAGUGAUGGCAGUGGCGGUUCCUCCAGUGGAGCAGGCGGCAUCAUGAUUAGUAGAACAGGAGUUUGGAUAAAGCUAGAAGGACCUAGUGAGUACAGUCAAUCAAGCAAGCUUUUAGAGAACACCAUAGGUAUUCAUUUAGUCGGUUGAAGCCAAACUAACACCAACACUUCCAAUGUACACGUUACUGCUGGCUAUUGUUAUCCUUAGCUUCUAUGAGAGAACUAGAUAGCUGCAUAAUGAACUAGACAAUUUAAUAUGUUAUGAACU